rnacentral:lncRNA from 1 species
CUCAUCCCUCUGUCAAUCAAAUAUCCUUUUUCCCCAAGGUCUUUUCUGACCUCGAUAAGACUGCAAACUCAUCCUACCUGCUUUCUAACUCAUAUGUCAGUUCUACUACCUCUGUUCAUUUAGUUUAAAUGCCAUUACUUAUUUAUUGGAUUUUUAUUUUACUCGUUUGCUUAUUUAUUCCAGUCUUUUUCCUCAGCAUUGGACUUCACAAAGGAAGGUGGCUUUGUCUGCAGCAGGUUCUGUGACUUUAGCUCCUGGUGAUAAGCCCUCAGUCGUUCAGGGAAUGAGUACAAUCGGGUGAGUUUUUUCAGUCCCUUCAUUGGACCCCUGAUUCACUGUGGUGGCUUUCAAUCCCACUCAUCUGACUUUCUGUCCUCCUCCUGGACAGUCCCCCAUAAAGGACAAGGAGGCAGCACAGAGUCAGCAGGCUGAGGCCAGWUGGCAACAUCCGACCAGCAAAGGCCAGAUCACAAAGGAGAGGGGAGACCAGAGCCUCAGUUGGAAAGUCAGGUACACAGAGCGUAUAGACAGAAUGCUUUACAGAAAGGACCAAAGAGGAAAGAGCUGAGCCAGGCUGCUGUCUCAGGAAAGUCAASCCUUGGCCUGAUCCAUGACAGGAGUGGGGGCAGCCCAGAAACACAAACAGCACUGCAGAGAUGUGUCCCCCUCUCCUCACCCCUGCAACCACCACCUGAUGUAAGAAGACUUAUUACAUCUCCAUACCAGUCAAGCUGAAGCCUGUGGGCUUUCUAACCCCAGAGGGACAGUMUGAAUUUUCUGGGCCAAGCUGUUUCCAUCAGCUGAAUGAGAUGCACUUGGGAAGAAGAAAGUGGAUCGCUGUUCAGCUGCUGAAUACAAGCAGYUGGGACACUCAACCCAGCAAUGGAGAUGUGAGCAGCACCUACUGCAGUUCACCCCUUGAGCUGUUCAUUUCCACYUGCUCCGUAUAAUUGAGUUCACACCAUACAUACAUGGUUUCCCUAGGAUCCGGUGUUGCAGUUCCUAAGAGAACUCACAAGAGAAUUGCCAGCAGAACAAACUUUAGCCCCCACUGCUGUAGCUGCUUCCAAGGCCAUCACUGAUAAUCAUCAUGGUUCUGUACUAUAAMUAUAUUGGUCCAUUUUCUGUUGCUAUAAUAAAAUACCUGAGGCCAGAUAAUUUAUAAAGAAU